GACGAACGCUGGCGGCGUGCCUAAUACAUGCAAGUCGAGCGCAGGAAGUUAUCUGAUCCUUUUCGGAGGUGACGAUAAUGGAAUGAGCGGCGGACGGAUGAGUAACACGUAGGCAACCUGCCUGUAAGACUGGGAUAACUCGUGGAAACGCGAGCUAAUACCGGAUAACACUUUUCAUCUCCUGAUGAGAAGUUGAAAGGCGGCUUUUGCUGUCACUUACAGAUUGGCCUGCGGCGCAUUAGCUAGUUGGUAAGGUAACGGCUUACCAAGGCGACGAUGCGUAGCCGACCUGAGAGGGUGAUCGGCCACACUGGGACUGAGACACGGCCCAGACUCCUACGGGAGGCAGCAGUAGGGAAUCUUCCGCAAUGGACGAAAGUCUGACGGAGCAACGCCGCGUGAGUGAUGAAGGUUUUCGGAUCGUAAAACUCUGUUGUUAGGGAAGAACAAGUGCCAUAGUAACUGAUGGCACCUUGACGGUACCUAACCAGAAAGCCACGGCUAACUACGUGCCAGCAGCCGCAGUAA
rnacentral:rRNA from 1 species